rnacentral:lncRNA from 1 species
AUACAACUGUCAUGUCCACAACUAACUAUUACAUAAACACUUCAUAUCUCUGGCUAACCUCCUGGUCUACCCUGUACCUGCACAUCUGGGGUUAGGGGAGAGGGGUGAGCUACAAAGCCCAGUGAGCAGAAUAGAGAAAACAUAUAUUACAAUUUCAUGCCAUUAUGUAAUGCAACACAUCACAACAAAUCACAUCUCGGAUGGUAUUGUCACCAAUAGUCCUCUACAUAGUCCAACUGUGCCGGGACGUAGAAUGGGUACAACCGGUCUUUCCCUUAACAUAACAUAUCAUACAGUCCAACUGUGCCAGGGACGUAGAAUGGGUACAACCUGGACUUCCAUACCAUAUCUCAUGCCGUAGCAUCAUCAUAUCAUAUGAGGACUAAGGAUCAUCCAAUGACCAAUCCACACCAACAUCAUAAAUGCAAUGCAACAUAUUCGUGGAUACUAAUGCAAACAACCUACUAUAUCUCAUGGCAUUCAUGAUGCAUGGAUCAUACUCAAAUUUCAUAUUUCAUUUAUUUUAAAACUUAAGGUUUAUUUCACUCACCUCUGGCUAGCUCUGACAAACUCUGUAGCAGCUGGCUCACUGCUGGGGUCCUCGGUUCCUCGGGUCCGAACCUACACAGGUGGACUCCAAUGAGGGACCAAACAUACAUAAACAUAACUCUAAUAUACUCCCCAAAAACCCCCUAUAACAUCAUGAAAUCAUCACAUAAAAACAUGCAAGAAAUGGCUGAACAGGGCACUUUCGGCGGCAGGUUCGGCGGCCGAAAGUCCCUCCAGAGCCGAAAGUCAGGCAGGUUCGGCGGC